rnacentral:rRNA from 1 species
AGAUUGAACGCUGGCGGCAUGCCUUACACAUGCAAGUCGAACGGUAGAGUAGCAAUACUCGAGAGUGGCGAACGGGUGAGUAAUAUAUCGGAACGUGCCCAGUCGUGGGGGAUAACGUAGAGAAAUUUACGCUAAUACCGCAUACGAUCUACGGAUGAAAGCGGGGGAUCGCAAGACCUCGCGCGAUUGGAGCGGCUGAUAUCAGAUUAGGUUGUUGGUGAGGUAAAAGCUCACCAAGCCGACGAUCUGUAGCUGGUUUGAGAGAACGACCAGCCACACUGGGACUGAGACACGGCCCAGACUCCUACGGGAGCAGCAGUGGGAAUUUGGACAGUGGGGAACCCUGAUCCGAGCAAUGCCGCGUGAGUGAUGAAGGUCCGUUAGGUUGAAAGUCUACGUUUACCCGAGAUGAUAAUGACAGUAGUU